UACGUAGGGUGCAAGCGUUAAUCGGAAUUACUGGGCGUAAAGCGUGCGCAGGCGGUUUGUAAGUUUGUCGUGAAAUCCCCGGGCUCAACCUGGGAAUGGCGAUGAAGACUGCAAGGCUAGAAUCUGGCAGAGGGGGGUAGAAUUCCACGUGUAGCAGUGAAAUGCGUAGAGAUGUGGAGGAACACCGAUGGCGAAGGCAAUCCCCUGGGCCUGCACUGACGCUCAUGCACGAAAGCGUGGGGAGCAAACAGGAUUAGACUACCCCAGU
rnacentral:rRNA from 1 species